UUGAGAAGAAGAGAUGGAAGGUGGAGGUGGGAACAUGACGCUAGGAGGAUAAGGCGUGGGCGUCACAAGAAGUGGGUUGGAGCAAGAAGUAGAGCAGGCAAUGCCCCUCUCUACAUUGGCAUCUACACAGCCAAAUCAAGGACUUAAACUCCUGGAACGGCUCCUCCUAUCCCCUGCUCCUCUCGGAUUGGCGCAAGUCCGCCUCCUCCCCCGCCUCCCUCUCCACGCGUGCAGCAGCGACCUAGGAGGAGCUCGAGCCGCAGUGGUGGUCCAUGGCACCUUCGUCGUCGUCCCCGGCUGGAGAAGCAUGGGCCGCAGAGACGGCCGGAUCUGUCCGGCCCUCGCGCUAUCGUUCGUUCACUCUCAAGGAUAAUGUGUUUGUUCAGCUGAUUUGUAUAGUUCCAAUACCGGGUUGUUAAGGAAAAUCCAGAUGAUGCAUUCUACGAGUUGGAGACCCCCCAACAGCAAAUUCAGUCAGACGUCUUUGAUGGACUUAAGAGAGAUGCUGAUACUAUGAGGUGAAAUGCUCAUUUACUUAAGAGAAACGUUCACAAGGAUGACUGACCGUGUGCGGCACUGACCUCGAUGGCGUGCCGCAUCAUUUCUGCCCGACCUCAAUGUUUACCUCGUCACCCACGGCCAGAUGGUCGAAGACAUCCCGACGAAGCAGCACAUGCUUGUCCCUUCUUUCGUUGGCGGCGGGAGAAAGAGGAUCCACCCGCUCCCUUAUGCUGAUUCGAGCCUUCCUUGUGAGUUGGCUCCAAUUUUUUGCUCUUUUGUAUGUGGGUGUACAUACCCGAGGUGAGAAAAUAAGUUCAGAUUACACUAAGGUGGAUCUCUCGAUUAAUAUGCAACUUUUUUAUGAAUAAAAGUUCUGAUAUUGUAGUAAGCUUAUGUGUGAUUUAGUAUAGAAUUAUGCUUUCAAGGUUGUACUAAUAGAUGACCUUCGCCAUUCUCUAAUUUUCCCUAGCAUGGAUUGCCUACUCUACAAGAUAAAGUGUCGGUUUAUGAGGAUAUUUUCCAAAAAGAGUUGUUAGGGUAUGAUGUACUCGAUUGAUCUAUGAGAUGACCUGCUUGGUGGUGAAGGUUUUUUACAUCUGCUGAGGGAGUUUCCAUGUUGCUGAGGAUGGUCCACUUCUUUGCUUAGAAUUCCAAAUUCAAAUCUCGCCGGCGCCGGCUAGAUGGAUCGUGCUGUUCUUGAGCCCACUCUUCUCAUACCAUCGGACAUCAACUGCCGCCACUCGCACUUGUCGUGCUGCCUCUUGAUGAGAUGAACACUCCUAUAUCUGCAUUCAAAGGAAAAGGGCACACCCAGCAAAUCACCAUGCCCAAAAUGUGCUCGCCGCAAACUUUUUACUGAGCCCUCAAAGCCUAAGGACACUGAACUCUCUGCCUCUGCUGCCAAGGUGGCUAGCCAGGCUGAACAAGGUGCUCCUGGUGGAAAUGUUGUUGAAGCUACAUCUGUGCCAAAUGUCAGUCAAGAAACUGAGCUUAUAGCUACUGAAGAUCCAAAGAACAACCUUCCUGACCACACUAAUUUCAAGAGGACAAACACUGCUGUCAAGCCAGCUGGCGCUCCAAAGAAAGCGAAGCAGUAGUUCUUCCAUGGACUAGGCUAGAUAUGUACAUACGGUGCAACUGGCGCUUCUUGAGUUCCAUUUUUCCUACAGGCAUGCCAGAUGAUAUGUCGCAAUAUGAUGAUAACUCUGAAUCCUCUUCUUUCUCAGGAUAUCUUCUAUGUUCUGCUUGCUUAUCAAGCGAAAUUCACCGUUAGAAGGGUGUUUUGCCGAAAAGAGCUUCUCAGCUCUGCUGCGUCACAGCAACGGUCUGGCCAUCGGGUCUGAAGAUCGUCAACUCAGCACACUUUUGGGCGUGCACCAGGUUUAUUUUGUGCAACUUUGUAAGACAAGGCUUUGACACUCGCAUAACUAUGUCGAGCCACUGUCAUGAUAAUUCCUCUAUUUAGGUCCUCGAACAAAUCAAGUACUAUGCGUUGUAAAUAUCACCAUCGGCCCUUUCUGACUUAUCUCCCUCCUUAUGACAAUUUCAACCUUCUGUAAAUGCCGCUGGGCCAUGCUGCUUAAUCUAAGUCUUUUCGUUCUUGUUA